GGACGAACCCCUCGCGCGAGUGAAAGCGCGGUCUUGGCGGCGGUGGCCAUUGCGGGUAGGACGCGGCCACCGCGCUGGAAUCCAUGGGCGGACGCCUGCCGCGUUGCCGAGCGUGAUAUGACUCAUGUGCGCCCGUGCGCGGCGAGGCUGCCGGCCCUUGCCCGUCCGUCGGGCGGGUGAUAGCAGGACAUC
rnacentral:misc_RNA from 1 species